rnacentral:rRNA from 1 species
GACGAAGGGGGCUAGCGUUGUUCGGAAUUACUGGGCGUAAAGCGCGUGUAGGCGGUCGUGCAAGUCGCGUGUGAAAGCCCCCGGCUCAACUGGGGAGGGUCACGCGAUACUGCUCGACUCGAAGGCAGGAGAGGGAAGUGGAAUUCCCGGUGUAGUGGUGAAAUGCGUAGAUAUCGGGAGGAACACCAGUGGCGAAGGCGACUUCCUGGCCUGUUCUUGACGCUGAGGCGCGAAAGCUAGGGUAGCAAACGGG